rnacentral:misc_RNA from 1 species
AUUCACGAAGGUAGCGAUCCGUACGGCGAUCGGGUUCGUCGUGAUGGGGUUCGUCGGGUUCUUCGUCAAGCUCGUCUUUAUCCCGAUCAACAACAUCAUCGUCGGUUCCGGUUAGGGAACUGAUCCUAGAGGCCUCAAGGGAUGAAGGAUUUGGCUUUAUUUAAGUUGCUUAUCGAAUAGAUACUUUAUGUAGAACAAAGUUUUUGUGAGCUUUGCGAAUCUGUUAGCGGAACUUGGAAUGACUAAUUAUG